AUUGAACGCUGGCGGCAGGCCUAACACAUGCAAGUCGAGCGGAUGAAGGGAGCUUGCUCCUGGAUUCAGCGGCGGACGGGUGAGUAAUGCCUAGGAAUCUGCCUGGUAGUGGGGGAUAACGUCCGGAAACGGGCGCUAAUACCGCAUACGUCCUGUGGGAGAAAGUGGGGGAUCUUCGGACCUCACGCUAUCAGAUGAGCCUAGGUCGGAUUAGCUAGUUGGUGGGGUAAAGGCCUACCAAGGCGACGAUCCGUAACUGGUCUGAGAGGAUGAUCAGUCACACUGGAACUGAGACACGGUCCAGACUCCUACGGGAGGCAGCAGUGGGGAAUAUUGGACAAUGGGCGAAAGCCUGAUCCAGCCAUGCCGCGUGUGUGAAGAAGGUCUUCGGAUUGUAAAGCACUUUAAGUUGGGAGGAAGGGCAGUAAGUUAAUACCUUGCUGUUUUGACGUUACCAACAGAAUAAGCACCGGAUAACUUAGUG
rnacentral:rRNA from 1 species